AUUAAUAAAUUUGAAAUAGAUGAAGACCAAAGGCAAAUAAAUUUUUUUAUAUCUGAAAUGAAUGAGAGGCUAAAGCUAGCUUUUGAUGUGAAUCUGACGAAAAAUAUUACAGAAUGGCUAAAUGAGCUAUCUUCAUCAAUAAAUGUGUCACUGGUGUUAAUUUUGCGGACUAAUUUUUUAAAGAUAAACAAUUUACUAAACAUUGAUGAUAAGAAAAGGAAAGAUUAUUUUAUUAAUAUCGAAAAUUUACCGUUUCAAAUGAUUUCAGUUGCUAGACAGCUUGAAUUCACAAAUAAGUGUGAGUAUUAUAUAAAGGAGAAAAAAUUGAAUGAUUUCUUAUCAUCACUACAUUCUUUUCACAAAGAUAUCGCCG